rnacentral:rRNA from 1 species
UACGGAGGGUGCGAGCGUUAAUCGGAAUUACUGGGCGUAAAGCGUGCGCAGGCGGUUUUGUAAGACAGGCGUGAAAUCCCCGGGCUCAACCUGGGAACUGCGCUUGUGACUGCAAGGCUAGAGUACGGCAGAGGGGGGUGGAAUUCCACGUGUAGCAGUGAAAUGCGUAGAGAUGUGGAGGAACACCAAUGGCGAAGGCAGCCCCCUGGGUCGAUACUGACGCUCAUGCACGAAAGCGUGGGUAGCAAACAGG